rnacentral:rRNA from 1 species
GACGAACGCUGGCCGCGUGCUUAACACAUGCAAGUCGAACGGAAAGGCCCUGCUUUUGUGGGGUGCUCGAGUGGCGAACGGGUGAGUAACACGUGAGUAACCUGCCCUUGACUUUGGGAUAACUUCAGGAAACUGGGGCUAAUACCGGAUAGGAGCUCCUGCUGCAUGGUGGGGGUUGGAAAGUUUCGGCGGUUGGGGAUGGACUCGCGGCUUAUCAGCUUGUUGGUGGGGUAGUGGCUUACCAAGGCUUUGACGGGUAGCCGGCCUGAGAGGGUGACCGGCCACAUUGGGACUGAGAUACGGCCCAGACUCCUACGGGAGGCAGCAGUGGGGAAUAUUGCACAAUGGGCGGAAGCCUGAUGCAGCAACGCAGCGUGCGGGAUGACGGCCUUCGGGUUGUAAACCGCUUUCGCCUGUGACGAAGCGUGAGUGACGGUAAUGGGUAAAGAAGCACCGGCUAACUACGUG